rnacentral:rRNA from 1 species
CUCUACAGCCACACCAACCUGAACACACCCAAUCUCAUCUGAUCUUGGAAGCUACUGCAGAGUCGGACCUGGUUAGUAAUUGGAUGGGAGA